CAAAGGCUUGGUCCUGGCCUUACUGUCAGCUUCAGCUCAAUUUACACAUGCAAGUAUCCGCACCCCUGUGAGAAUGCCCCCGGUUUUCCUCAAGAAAACAAGGAGCUGGUAUCAGGCACAGUCUUAAACUAGCCCACGACACCUUGCUCAGCCACCCCCCCACGGGAAUUCAGCAGUGACAAACAUUAAGCCAUGAGUGAAAACUUGACUUAGUUAGAGCUAAGAGGGUUGGUUAAUCCCGUGCCAGCCACCGCGGUUACACGAGAGACCCGAGUCGACAGACAACGGCGUAAAGAGUGGUUAAGGCAAAUUAAGACUAAAGCCGAAGGCCCUCAAAACUGUUAUACGUUUACGAGAGUAUGAAGAUCACCUACGAAAGUGGCUUUACAAUCCCUGAACCCACGAAAGCUAUGGCACAAACUGGGAUUAGAUACCCCACUAUGCUUAGCCCUAAACAUUGAUAGUGCAUUACAAACGCUAUCCGCCCGGGUACUACGAGCAUCAGCUUAAAACCCAAAGGACUUGACGGUGCUUUAGACCCACCUAGAGGAGCCUGUUCUAGAACCGAUAAUCCACGUUAAACCUUACCUUUUCUUGUUAACCCCGCCUAUAUACCGCCGUCGUCAGCUUACCCUGCAAAGGACACAUAGUAAGCAAAGUUGGUAAGACCCAAAACGCCAGGUCGAGGUGUAGCGUAUGAAAAGGAAAGAAAUGGGCUACAUUCCGUGAUACAAUGAAUACGAAUGAUGGACUGAAAAACCCAUCUGAAGGAGGAUUUAGCAGUAAGAGGAAAGCAGAGAGUUCCCCUGAAGCAGGCCC
rnacentral:rRNA from 1 species